AGGUUUCUUUAGAGUUUAAUUUUCAAUAUCUUAGAAAAUGGUGAGCAAGCCAUUCACCAAGUAAAAUGACAUAAAAAGAACCAGAUAUUCUGAAGCAAGCAUGACAGAAGUAGAGAGAGAGAUUCUGGGGUCUAAUUCACGAGCAGGCACAAUGCCCACUGGCUUAAGAGGAAGAUACAUAUUCAUUGAACAUAAAAUACUAAAACAAUUUUAGGCAGGCUGCAACACAGACUACACACAGACUUUCUGGAUUCUAUAAAAAAAAUUUAGUUUGAGGUCUGUUGUUGGACACAGCUGAGAUGCCAGAAACACAUUUAUGAAAUCUGUUCCUUAAUGCUCAACACUGUACCUUUGUUCGGUGGAUAUUUUGGCUUUUUUCCUCCACCAACUAAUGCUAAAUAGUUGCACCGAAAUAACAUUUCAACAUGGCCAACGCCUCCUUCUAGAAAUUCUGUAAAACAAAAAAUGAAAUUUGUAAAUAUACUCAGCACUUAAUUUCACAGCACAAUGGGUCUUAGAUAGCAUUGGAACAUUUUCUUCUUUACAGAAAGUGUGACAUUUUAGGAUUUACUAUAGAAGUGCAAAAUACCACUGAGGUCAAGCCCAUGUUAAAGAGGCCUUUUACUGCAUUGCCACAAGAAAAUGCUUCAGUAUAUGACUAAGGCUACUCUCAGUUAUCUACACUAUGGAAAGAUACUUUGUGGAGAUCUCCUCCUGUCCCCAUCUAGAUACUAAGAGAAUCAAAAGAAGAGUGAUUACUCUUAGCUACAACUAACAGCUUUUUCAGCAGAGACUACAAGUUACAUUUAAAAAAGCUACACAACACAGGAUACUUACAUAUUCAAAGUUGUUUAUGAUUGCAAAAAAAAAGUAAAAUCCCUCCCCACCCCCCCCCCCGAACAAAUACUGAAGUAUACUUUUUAAAAUGGAAAACAAGAAGUUACUCAUUUAAGGUAUGUAUAUAUCAAUGAUCCCAUUAAAAUUAAUUUAUCUUUUAUGGUAUGUUAACAUUUCUUGCAGGCAACAAGAAGGAAGAGGGUUUUUAGGAAGGAUUUUGAGAGAGAAAAAGUGGCUUAGUGAAUACAGAUUAGUAGGCAUGCCAUGUUUAUAGGCACUAUUGAAAAAAAGCAGAGGAGAUGAAGAGGUAUCUAAGCUAGCAUCAGAUGUGAUGGAAAAGUUGCAAGAGAAAAGGGCAGAGGCACUUGCCACUAUUUUAUGCCAUUUAGUUUUUUUGAUUUUCCUCUCCAUUUACGCAAUUAAAUUAAACAAAAGUAAAACUGUAUUCUAGACUGUUUCACUUUUUGGUUCUCAAAUUCUACCAUCCUUCCAUACAGUCUUCAGGGGCAAAAUUGAGCUGUUCUUAAAUCUCACUCUGCACAGUGAGCUCUACGAUCACCCAUAUCUGGUGGAAGGAAGUUCCAUAGCUGUAGGGCAGCCACUCAAAAUUCAGUCCCCUCCCACCCCGAUAAUCAUUUUCAAAACUAUUAAUUUUAUUGGCUCCAGUCUCUGCAAUUAAGUACAAAGCCCUGAUUAGUAUUAACAGUGCUAUAAGCACCUCAAUUCGAGUAAACUGCAAAAACAUAACUUGGCAUAUGGUAGGGUAUGUACUUCUUUUAGAGUGUGUAAGUUCUCUUGGGCAGGGCACAGUAGAUCAGGAUCUUGACCUGGAUCUGGUAUUGGACAGGUAGCCAGUACAGCAUGCAGAAAAAUGGGGUUGAGGGGGAAUGUGCUCAAUCUGUUUUGCUCUGAAGAUGAACCAAAGACAUGCACGUCCAUCUGGAGCUUCUUCAUGGCGUUCACUUCCAUCCCCAAGUAGCAGUGAACCAUCUGGACUAGGAAAUGAAUGCAUGCUUUGGUCCAAUGGGAAGGAACUUUUAGCUAAAAGCACCAUUUGGGUAUCCAAGAAUAGAAGUCCAGAAGGACACUUUAGUCCAGCAUUACACUGACUGGACAAGUGCCCCAACAUUAUGGUUUUAGAGAGUUACCCCCCAGUACAGAUAUCUGAUUACUAGCAUCACUUCUGUCUUGCACAGAUUAAGCUUCAGUCAGCUGCUUUUUAACCAAGUCUCUCUCUGACUCAGAUACCAGGAAACCAGAGUGAUGGUGUUGUCUAUGUUUAAUGUAAAGUUAUGACAGCCACUAUGCUUGAGGGCAGUGUGAAAAUAGUGUUUGAUUAUAUGCAAUUCAAAUUUACAGAUAAAUGUGGAGCAACAUGUGCCACCAACAAGGCCUUCAUGACAGGAGGUUUAGGAAAGAGAGCCCUCUCCUUUGGAAGCGAGUCUCAGACAAAAGAUGAAUGAGAAGCAGACACCCAGGUUUCCAAGGAAGAGAGGAAAUGGAGUUUAAGUAGUUAGAAAGUCAUGAAUGACAGUGAGCUUUCUGAAGGCAGAGCUGGAAUUCCAGAAGGAGCAGAAAGAGGAGUGGAAUCAGAAAGGCUAGGGACACGACAGAUUAAAGAACACAGAACCUGAGGGAUGAGGAGUAUACUCAGCAGGGAUGAGAUUAAGAUAGAGGUCACUAGCAGUUAGGAGGAGCUACAUCCCUCUUAGGACAACUAAAGGAUGUAUGGACUGGAAUCAGAUCUCCUCACACUAAGUUAGAAGAGAAUGCUUAAGAAAGAUGACUGGAAAAGCAGUGAGGCUGUUACGAAACCCCAGAGGCCUCACUGGUAGACAAAGGGAAAGAAAGGGUUAUGUCUGAGGUACAGAAAACACUGCCAUUCCUCUCAGAACAGAUGCAGUCAGGAUCCCUCCACUGGUUAGAAGAAUGGUUUUCGCUAAGUUUCUGUCGAGUUUUAUUCUUGAGCAAAAACUGUAUAUAGGCUUUAACAGAACCACCAAAGCAGUUUACACAUGACAGUAUUAGGCAGAAAAAGCCCAAUACAGAUUACAGCCUAAUCCUCUAUCCACUUGAUGUGGCGCUCUCUCUUAUAAAAACACACCGCAACUUGUAGUUUAGGCUGUGACUUGAGAGCUACCCCAGUUCUUUCACACUUACAAUGUGUUGCUUACCCCCUCUUGUGACCAGUCCACAGAGGUUUCAGUCUGAUACUAGCUUCAAGAUCACACACCCGAGUCUGUUAGCUCAGGCAGUAGAGGAUUACCAGAAGUUAAACUGCGGAUCUAGAAGUCACAUGAUUGAGACUCCCUGUGGAGCCAUCCUUGGCUGGAAGGAAAGUCACUGGACAAGGGCUCAAUGCAGGAAGAAAGUAACCCAGGCAAGAGCCCUGUGGAGAAGACAAGUAGGUUGUACUUUCAAAACAGAGCUAGCAUAGAAAAAUGAUAGGUUUCAGAAUAGCAGCUGUGUUAGUCUGCAUUCGCAAAAAGAAAAGGAGUAUUUGUGGCACCUUAGAGACUAACAUUUAUUUGAGCAUAAGCUUGUGAGCUACAGUUGCAUCCAAUGAAGUGAGCUGAAAAAUGAGAAAGCAUCUCACACCUUGUUUCUCUUUUUCUUUGAGAGGAUCUGCAUUAUAAACUCUGAAUCCAUUUUCCAUUCCACAUGCAAAGCAUCCUAAAACACAAAAUGGAAAAAUAUGCAUUAAUUAUGUAAUACAGGCAAAACAGAGUAAGUCGGAGGGCGGGGGUCACUAUUCAAGAGCUUUUAUGUCAAUGAAAUUUAUUUCAAGAAGAAGGUUGCAGCUUUAGUAGUUUAAAAUAGAAAGAGUGGAAACAGUGCAAAGUUGGUUUUUCCACAUUGUUUCAGUGUUCUGUUUAAACAGGUGUUGAACAAACAAUGGAAGGAAAGGAGAUACUGUAUCACAUAGGAGGCAGUUUGAUUAUGAGUCAAUACCAGGGAGAAGAAAAUCAGUUUUGGUGUAUUCUUACUGAAACUUACACUCCCCAGUAAUAGCUAGCACAGAAAAACCCUAUAUUCAUGUACUAAAAAAGGAGUCCUAUUUCAAAUAUUCAGAUAACAUAGUAAAGUUUAAUUAGUAAUCUAACAUGUUCGUGGUUCCUGAAAUAGGUGAGAAUAGUUCUUUAUCUAUCAUGCUCUGAUAGCGGCAUGCAGGAUAGCAUAGUGCAACUUGGAAGUCCAUCAGGUCCACUUAACUGUGGGGAACUAGAGCAACUCAACUUAUAAACUAAAGAGUUUAUAAUAUACAGAGAUUUUACAGCUCUGACCAUUUUUUUUUAAGCUGAAGUCCAGAACUGCGUUAUGCAGAUCUCUUGGGGGGGGGGGGGGGAAGAGUGCCUUUUUAAUGGAUUCCUUCAUACUCCCAGGCAGCCACAACACCUGAGAAACAAAAGAAAGCCUAGGACUGAGGGAGGGAUCCUGUCUGAAAGAAAUUCAGCCAGUAAGACUGCUGAAUUAUGUGGCGAGAGAGACUGUUUUAAUACACUUAGCUUGUUGCAUUUUACCUUACAUUUCCUUUUAACCAAUUAUGACUUUUAAGCCUCAUUACUUGUAAUCACUUAAAAUCUUUCUGUAGUUAAUAAAAUUUGUUUUAUCUAAGCCAGUGUGCUUGGAUUGAAGUGUUUGGGAAACUCCAUUUGAGAUAUGCACAAAUCCUGUAUUUUCUAUUAAUAAAUUGACAGAUUUAUAUGAGCUUGUAGUAUCCAGCCCUGUCCUGGGCAACACAAGACAUGCAUUUCUGAGGGAAAGUCUGGGACCGGGAAUUUGCUGGUGUUGCUCUGCAGCAUAAUUCAAAAGUAUCUGGCUACAGC